CCACCAUUCCCAAUCGACCUAUAUAGGAAAGAAACUAAGGAACUCCAAUGCCGAGUGGAAGAGCUACUAGCCAAGGGGCAUGUUAGGGAAAGUUUGAGCCUGUGUGUUGUACCUAUCCUAUUAAUACCCAAAAAAACACUUCCUAAAGAAUGUGUGUCAACUUUUGGACUGUCAACGAAAUUACUGUAAAAUAUAGACACACUAUUUCGCAAUUAGAUGACAUGCUAAAUGAACUUAGCAGGGC
rnacentral:lncRNA from 1 species